AACGAACGCUGGCGGCAGGCCUAACACAUGCAAGUCGAGCGAAGCCUUCGGGCUUAGCGGCGGACGGGUGAGUAACGCGUGGGAACGUGCCCUUUGGUACGGAAUAGCCCCGGGAAACUGGGAGUAAUACCGUAUGUGGUCGAGAGACGAAAGAUUUAUCGCCAAAGGAUCGGCCCGCGUUGGAUUAGGUAGUCGGUGGGGUAAUGGCCUACCAAGCCGACGAUCCAUAGCUGGUUUGAGAGGAUGAUCAGCCACACUGGGACUGAGACACGGCCCAGACUCCUACGGGAGGCAGCAGAGGGGAAUCUUAGACAAUGGGGGAAACCCUGAUCUAGCCAUGCCGCGUGAUCGAUGAAGGCCUUAGGGUUGUAAAGAUCUUUCAGUGGGGAAGAUAAUGACUGUACCCACAGAAGAAGCCCCGGCUAACUCCGUGCCAGCCGCCGCUGUAAGAC
rnacentral:rRNA from 1 species